rnacentral:rRNA from 1 species
CAGCUAGUUGGUGAGGUAACGGCCCACCAAGGCAUCGACGGGUAGCUGGUCUGAGAGGACGAUCAGCCACACUGGGACUGAGACACGGCCCAGACUCCUACGGGAGGCAGCAGUGGGGAAUCUUGCGCAAUGGGCGAAAGCCUGACGCAGCAACGCCGCGUGGAGGACGAAGGCUUUCUGAGUUGUAAACUCCUUUCAGCAGGGACGAUAGUGACGGUACCUGCAGAAGAAGCACCGGCCAACUACGUGCCAGCAGCCGCGGUGAUACGUAGGGUGCAAGCGUUGUCCGGAUUUAUUGGGCGUAAAGAGCUCGUAGGCGGUUUGAUUAGUCGGGUGUGAAACCUCCAGGCUCAACCUGGAGCCGCCACUCGAUACUGUCAUGACUAGAAUUCGGUAGGGGACCACGGAAUUCCUGGUGUAGCGGUGAAAUGCGCAGAUAUCAGGAGGAACACCAGCAGCGAAGGCGGUGGUCUGGGCCGACAUUGACGCUGAGGAGCGAAAGCGUGGGGAGCGAACAGGAUUAGAUACCCUGGUAGUCCACGCCGUAAACGUUGGGCACUAGGUGCGGGGACUAUUCAACGGUUUCCGUGCCGCAGCUAACGCAUUAAGUGCCCCGCCUGGG